rnacentral:rRNA from 1 species
AGUGAACGCUGGCGGUAGGCCUAACACAUGCAAGUCGAACGGCAGCACAGUAAGAGCUUGCUCUUACGGGUGGCGAGUGGCGGACGGGUGAGGAAUACAUCGGAAUCUACUUUUUCGUGGGGGAUAACGUAGGGAAGCUUACGCUAAUACCGCAUACGACCUACGGGUGAAAGCAGGGGAUCUUCGGACCUUGCGCGAUUGAAUGAGCCGAUGUCGGAUUAGCUAGUUGGCGGGGUAAAGGCCCACCAAGGCGACGAUCCGUAGCUGGUCUGAGAGGAUGAUCAGCCACACUGGAACUGAGACACGGUCCAGACUCCUACGGGAGGCAGCAGUGGGGAAUAGUGGACAAUGGGCGCAAGCCUGAUCCAGCCAUACCGCGUGGGUGAAGAAGGCCUUCGGGUUGUAAAGCCCUUUUGUUGGGAAAGAAAAGCAGCAGGUUAAUACCCCGCUGUUCUGACGGUACCCAAAGAAUAAGCACCGGCUAACUUCGUG